AGUCUGAUGGAGCAACGCCGCGUGAGUGAAGAAGGGUUUCGGCUCGUAAAGCUCUGUUGGUAGUGAAGAAAGAUAGAGGCAGUAACUGGCCUUUAUUUGACGGUAAUUACUUAGAAAGUCACGGCUAACUACGUGCCAGCAGCCGCGGUAAUACGUAGGUGGCAAGCGUUGUCCGGAUUUAUUGGGCGUAAAGCGAGUGCAGGCGGUUCAAUAAGUCUGAUGUGAAAGCCUUCGGCUCAACCGGAGAAUUGCAUCAGAAACUGUUGAACUUGAGUGCAGAAGAGGAGAGUGGAACUCCAUGUGUAGCGGUGGAAUGCGUAGAUAUAUGGAAGAACACCAGUGGCGAAGGCGGCUCUCUGGUCUGCAACUGACGCUGAGGCUCGAAAGCAUGGGUAGCGAACAGGAUUAGAUACCCUGGUAGUCCAUGCCGUAAACGAUGAGUGCUAAGUGUUGGGAGGUUUCCGCCUCUCAGUGCCGCAGCUAACGCAUUAAGCACUCCACCUGGGGAGUACGACCGCAAGGUUGAAACUCAAAGGAAUUGACGGGGGCCCGCACAAGCGGUGGAGCAUGUGGUUUAAUUCGAAGCAACGCGAAGAACCUUACCAGGUCUUGACAUUC
rnacentral:rRNA from 1 species